rnacentral:ncRNA from 1 species
UUGCCUAUAGUAAGCUUACACAUGCAAGCAUCCACGUCCCAGUGAGAAUGCCCUCUAUAUCAUAAUUUGAUCAAAAGGAGCAGGCAUUAAGUUCACUACUAUAUAGCAGCUCACAACGCCUUGCUCAACCACACCCCCACGGGAUACAGCAGUGAUUAAACUUAAGCGCAUAAACGAAAGUUUGACUAAGCUACGCUAUGAUAGAAUUGGUAAAUUUCGUGCCAGCCACCGCGGUCAUACGAUUAAUCCAAGUUAAUAAAGCGCGGCGUAAAGUGUGGUUAAGGGCAGAUAUAGAAUAAGACUGAGCUUAGACUAAGCUGUAAAAAGCCCUAGUCAUAAUAAAAAUAUAAUACGAAAGUAGCCUUACCUUUCCUGAACCCACGAUAGCUAAGACCCAAACUGGGAUUAGAUACCCCACUAUGCUUAGCCCUAAACACAAAUACUUAACCAACAAAAUUAUUCGCCAGAGUACUACUAGCUAUUGCUUAAAACUCAAAGGACUUGGCGGUGCUUUACAUCCCUCUAGAGGAGCCUGUUCUGUAAUCGAUAAACCCCGAUAAACCUCACCACCUUUUGCAAUAUUCAGCCUAUAUACCGCCAUCUUCAGCAAACCCUAACAAGGUACUGCAGUAAGCACAAGAAUCACACAUGAAAACGUUAGGUCAAGGUGUAGCCUAUAGGGUGGUAAGAAAUGGGCUACAUUUUCUAAUUCUCUAGAACAGAAAUCUAAAACGAUAGCUUAUAUGAAACUACCCAAGCCUAAGGCGGAUUUAGUAGUAAGCUAGGACUAGAGUGCCUGGCUGAACAGGGCAAUAAAGCACG